GUCCAUAUCUCAAAACCCAAACUCUAAAUACUACGAAACUUAUGUAUAAAGUUUAUUAAUAUGAUAAUAUAUAUUCUUAGAAAUUUUUAGCCAAAAUCUUAUUAAAUUGCUCAAGAUAUGGCUUAAAACACAACCACAAGUAAAUUAGAUCACUUACUACCUUUAAAUUGCAAGUUUUGACUUCAACUUCCUAUAAAUCCUUCAUUCUACUUUAAAAUUUAUAAAAAAAUAUGCAAAAAAUAUAGCCAAAAAAGUGCUCUA
rnacentral:lncRNA from 1 species